GCUGGGAUGGCGGAGUGGCCAAUCGCACCAGACUGUAAAUCUGGCGACCGACCGGUCUUCGGGGGUUCGAAUCCCUCUCCCAGCA
rnacentral:tRNA from 1 species